CAAUUCACUGCUACAUCAAGAGCUUUCAAGCAAUCAUGGUUCUCUAUAAAAGUCAUUUUCUUCUCUAGUAUUGUGUGGCAACUCAAGCAAAAAAAAUGAAGCUUUGGGGCUGGAUGCAUCAUAAGUUCCGGGAGAAUAGCAAAGAACCAUUGAAAGAUGCUACAACUGGUAACAGCUAUUCCAUCCUUUCCUCCCAUCCAUCCCUUGAUAGCCAAGAUGUUUACCCCGCAGCAUGUGCUGGCUCCAGAUACAAUACUGGAUUCAGAAAACAAGUUAAU